rnacentral:rRNA from 1 species
GUGCUCGAGUGGCGAACGGGUGAGUAACACGUGAGUAACCUGCCCUUGACUUUGGGAUAACUUCAGGAAACUGGGGCUAAUACCGGAUAGGAGCUCCUGCUGCAUGGUGGGGGUUGGAAAGUUUCGGCGGUUGGGGAUAGACUCGCGGCUUAUCAGCUUGUUGGUGGGGUAGUGGCUUACCAAGGCUUUGACGGGUAGCCGGCCUGAGAGGGUGACCGGCCACAUUGGGACUGAGAUACGGCCCAG